CAUUCUCAGUAAAGGGCCCAAGGAGCUGAGAGGGAACAGAAUAAAGACAGCUGACUUAUGAAAGGGAUAUUCCAUACCAGAUGACAUCAUGUGAAAGGAGUUUUGAAGGGGGCGGGAGUUCAGCUUUCUCUCUUCUGCUGCUCAAGGGGCCAGCUGGAUAUCAGUUGGGGCGUAGCUCUGGGGACAUUGGACCUGGACUCUGGUUGAAGACUCUGCCAUAACCGGGAUGCAGCCAACCAUGGGACUGGUAGUGGCAAAGAGAAAAGGGAUGCAGUGUGGAGGCAGCAGCUAACCAUGAAGAAAAAAGAAUCCCCGAAGACGUCAUUUCUCAGAUUCCCACGGAGCCUGCAGCUUCCCCACAGAA